AUUGAACGCUGGCGGCAUGCCUUACACAUGCAAGUCGAACGGUAACGCGGGGCAACCUGGCGACGAGUGGCGAACGGGUGAGUAAUGCAUCGGAACGUGCCCAGUUGUGGGGGAUAACUGCUCGAAAGAGCAGCUAAUACCGCAUACGACCUGAGGGUGAAAGCGGGGGAUCGCAAGACCUCGCGCAAUUGGAGCGGCCGAUGUCGGAUUAGCUAGUUGGUGGGGUAAAGGCCCACCAAGGCGACGAUCCGUAGCUGGUCUGAGAGGACGACCAGCAACACUGGGACUGAGACACGGCCGAGACUCCUACGGGAGGCAGCAGUGGGGAAUUUUGGACAAUGGACGCAAGUCUGAUCCAGCCAUGCCGCGUGCGGGAAGAAGGCCUUCGGGUUGUAAACCGCUUUUGUCCGGAACGAAACGGCUCCUUCUAAUACAAGGGGCUAAUGACGGUACCGUAAGAAUAAGCACCGGCUAACUACGUGCCAGCCGCCGCGGUAACAC
rnacentral:rRNA from 1 species